CGAGUGCUUCAAGCGUUGUCCGGAAUCAUUGGGCGUAAAGGGUGUGUAGGUGGUUAUAUUAGUCUCGUGUUAAAUUUCCUGGCUCAACCGGGAAGCUGCAUGGGAAACGGUAUGACUAGAGGACGGUAGAGGUCUCUGGAACUCAUAGUGUAGCGGUGAAAUGCGUUGAUAUUAUGGGGAACACCAAAAGCGAAGGCAAGAGACUGGACCGCUCCUGACACUGAAACACGAAAGCGUGGGUCGCGAAUGGGAUUAGAUACCCCAGUAGUCCACGCCCUAAACGAUGACAACUAGAUAUGGGGAGUAUCGACCCUCUCCGUGUCGUAGCAAACGCGUUAAGUUGUCCGCCUGGGUAGUACGGCCGCAAGGUUG
rnacentral:rRNA from 1 species